AGAGUUUGAUCCUGGCUCAGAACGAACGCUGGCGGCGUGCUUAACACAUGCAAGUCGAGUGCGCGGUUGUAGCAAUACAACUGGCGCACGGCGCACGGGUGCGUAACACGUGGGCAAUCUGCCCUCCGAUGGGGAAUAACUCCGGGAAACCGAAGCUAAUUCCGCAUAACAUUCCCUGGACUCCGGUUCGGGGAUUCAAAGCAGUAAUGCGUCGGAGGAGGAGCCCGCGCCCGAUUAGCUAGUUGGUGAGGUAACGGCUCACCAAGGCUAUGAUCGGUAGCUGGUCUGAGAGGAUGGCCAGCCACACUGGAACUGAGACACGGUCCAGACUCCUACGGGAGGCAGCAGUGGGGAAUCUUGCGCAAUGGGCGAAAGCCUGACGCAGCGACGCCGCGUGGGGGAUGAAGCUUCUCGGAGUGUAAACCCCUUUCGACCGGGACGAAUGCCCGCAAGGGAGUGACGGUACCGGUAGAAGAAGCCCCGGCUAACUACGUGCCAGCAGCCGCGGUAAGACGUAGGGGGCCAGCGUUGUUCGGAAUUACUGGGUGUAAAGGGUUCGUAGGCGGUGCGGCAAGUCGGGAGUGAAAUUUCUGGGCUUAACUCAGAACCUGCUUCCGAAACUGCUGUGCUCGAGUGUGGGAGAGGCGCGUGGAAUUGCAGGUGUAGCGGAAAUGCGUAGAUAUCUGCAGGAACACCCGUGGCGAAAGCGGCGCGCUGGACCACUACUGACGCUGAGGAACGAAAGCUAGGGGAGCAAACAGGAUUAGAUACCCUAGUAGUCC
rnacentral:rRNA from 1 species